rnacentral:rRNA from 1 species
UACGUAGGGGGCAAGCGUUGUCCGGAAUCAUUGGGCGGAAAGAGCGUGUAGGCGGCUUGGUAAGUCCGCUGUGAAAGUCCAGGGCUCAACCCUGGAAUGCCGGUGGAAACUGCCAAGCUAGAGUCCGGAAGAGGCGAGUGGAACUCCUGGUGUAGCGGUGAAAUGCGCAGAUAUCAGGAAGAACACCAAUGGCGAAGGCAGCUCGCUGGGACGGUACUGACGCUGAGACGCGAAAGCGUGGGGAGCAAACAGG